CUCGACUUUCCUGCCUUAUAAAGACAAAAGGGCAGCUUUCAAGAUGUACAACUAUUUGGCUGAGCAUCAUGGCGAUCACAUAUUGAGCUGUCAUCAACUUGUAUACAAUCAAGACGAAUGGUUGCUUGCGUUAGAAUGUUUUUAAAAACGUAGUAACGUAUUUUAGCGAAAAGAUGAAAAGAUGGAAAGAUAGUUAUUCAAACCGGAGUGAGAAUAAGUGGUUCAGUUACAUUAGAGAAAAUUUCUGUAAGAUCUUCCACGAUGUUGCUCGUAUUUAGGCCUGUUGGAAACUCGAUGACCUCAACACACCUACUAUAGUGGACUUAAUAUCUACAACUAAUACUACACCAACUUUCUGAAGUCGGUUAACUUUUUAUUUUCUAACUUCUUAGUGCACUAUAAUACUCAAGUGGCAAAGCCGACCACAUAUCAUUCAGGUCGGCUCUAUGGUCGACUCUGCCGACCAUAUAUCAUUCAGGUGGCAGAGCCGACCAUAUAUUAAAUUCAACCCAAGUGCAUUAACUACUUAAUUAGAAACCGAAGGCUUAACUGAGACUUACAAUUACAAGAGAAGAAAACAUUUUUAUUAAUACACAACACAAUUACAAUAUGACGCACACUUACCUCACUACUCUUCUCUUUUCUACCUCUACCUUUCACACUCUUUUGCUUAUGGCUCUCUC
rnacentral:lncRNA from 1 species